CAUUCAGUUGGGCACUCUAAGCGAGACUGCCGUAAUAACCGGAGGAAAGGUGGGGGAAUGACGUCAAAUCAUCAUGCCCCUUAUGACCUGGGCUACACACGUGCUACAAUGGGCGGUACAAAGGGUCGCGAACCCGCGAGGGGGAGCCAAUCCCAAAAAGCCGCUCUCAGUUCGGAUUGCAGGCUGCAACUCGCCUGCAUGAAGCCGGAAUCGCUAGUAAUCGCGGAUCAGCACGCCGCGGUCGAAUACGUUCCCGGGCCUU
rnacentral:rRNA from 1 species